AGAGUUUGAUCCUGGCUCAGGACGAACGCUGGCGGCGUGCUUAACACAUGCAAGUCGAGCGAUGAAGCUUCCUUCGGGAAGUGGAUUAGCGGCGGACGGGUGAGUAACACGUGGGUAACCUGCCUCAAAGUGGGGGAUAGCCUUCCGAAAGGAAGAUUAAUACCGCAUAAUAUAAGAGAAUCGCAUGAUUUUUUUAUCAAAGAUUUAUUGCUUUGAGAUGGACCCGCGGCGCAUUAGCUAGUUGGUAAGGUAACGGCUUACCAAGGCAACGAUGCGUAGCCGACCUGAGAGGGUGAUCGGCCACAUUGGAACUGAGACACGGUCCAGACUCCUACGGGAGGCAGCAGUGGGGAAUAUUGCGCAAUGGGGGAAACCCUGACGCAGCAACGCCGCGUGGGUGAUGAAGGUCUUCGGAUUGUAAAGCCCUGUUUUCUAGGACGAUAAUGACGGUACUAGAGGAGGAAGCCACGGCUAACUACGUGCCAGCAGCCGCGGUAAUACGUAGGUGGCGAGCGUUGUCCGGAUUUACUGGGCGUAAAGGGUGCGUAGGCGGAUGUUUAAGUGGGAUGUGAAAUCCCCGGGCUUAACCUGGGGGCUGCAUUCCAAACUGGAUAUCUAGAGUGCAGGAGAGGAAAGCGGAAUUCCUAGUGUAGCGGUGAAAUGCGUAGAGAUUAGGAAGAACACCAGUGGCGAAGGCGGCUUUCUGGACUGUAACUGACGCUGAGGCACGAAAGCGUGGGUAGCAAACAGGAUUAGAUACCCUGGUAGUCCACGCCGUAAACGAUGGAUACUAGGUGUAGGGGGUAUCAACUCCUCCUGUGCCGCAGUUAACACAAUAAGUAUCCCGCCUGGGGAGUACGGUCGCAAGAUUAAAACUCAAAGGAAUUGACGGGGGCCCGCACAAGCAGCGGAGCAUGUGGUUUAAUUCGAAGCAACGCGAAGAACCUUACCUGGACUUGACAUCCCUUGCAUAGCCUAGAGAUAGGUGAAGCCCUUCGGGGCAAGGAGACAGGUGGUGCAUGGUUGUCGUCAGCUCGUGUCGUGAGAUGUUAGGUUAAGUCCUGCAACGAGCGCAACCCUUGUUAUUAGUUGCUACCAUUAAGUUGAGCACUCUAAUGAGACUGCCUGGGUAACCAGGAGGAAGGUGGGGAUGACGUCAAAUCAUCAUGCCCCUUAUGUCCAGGGCUACACACGUGCUACAAUGGUAGGUACAAUAAGACGCAAGACCGUGAGGUGGAGCAAAACUUAUAAAACCUAUCUCAGUUCGGAUUGUAGGCUGCAACUCGCCUACAUGAAGCUGGAGUUGCUAGUAAUCGCGAAUCAGAAUGUCGCGGUGAAUACGUUCCCGGGCCUUGUACACACCGCCCGUCACACCAUGAGAGCUGGUAACACCCGAAGUCCGUGAGGUAACCGUAAGGAGCCAGCGGCCGAAGGUGGGAUUAGUGAUUGGGGUGAAGUCGUAACAAGGUAGCCGUAGGAGAACCUGCGGCUGGAUCACCUCC
rnacentral:rRNA from 1 species